CUCAUUAAAUCAGUUAUAGUUUAUUUGAUGGUCUCUUUUGUCUUUUUUACCUACUUGGAUAACCGUGGUAAUUCUAGAGCUAAUACAUGCGCAAGGUCCCGAGCGCGGGGGCAGGGCUUCACGGCCCUGUCCUCGCAUGCGCAGAGGGAUGUAUUUAUUAGGUUAAACAACCAGCAUUUUAACAAUCAAUCUGGUGAUUCAUAGUAACUCUUUCAGAUCGCAUUCAUG
rnacentral:rRNA from 1 species